rnacentral:rRNA from 1 species
UAACACGUACUGUGCGAACGUUAUUCGGAAUCACUGGGCUUAAAGGGUGCGUAGGCGGCAAUUCAAGUCAGGUGUGAAAUGCCUGAGCUCAACUGAGGCAUUGCGCUUGAAACUGAACUGCUUGAGUAUCCCAGGGGUGUGCGGAACUGCCAGUGGAGCGGUGAAAUGUGUUGAUAUUGGCAGGAACACCGGAGGCGAAAGCGGCACACUGGGGGAUAACUGACGCUGAGGCACGAAAGCCAGGGGAGCGAACGGG